UACGUAGGGUGCAAGCAUUAAUCGGAUUUAUUGGGCGUAAAGGGCGCGUAGGCGGGAAGGUAAGUCAGAUGUGAAAGCCCGGGGCUCAACCCCGGAAUAGCAUUUGAAACUGCCAUUCUAGAGGGUAGGCGGAGAAAAUGGAAUUCCACAAGUAGCGGUGAAAUGCGUAGAUAUGUGGAAGAACACCAGUGGCGAAGGCGGUUUUCUAGCUUAUACCUGACGCUGAGGCGCGAAAGCAAGGGGAGCAAACAGG
rnacentral:rRNA from 1 species